rnacentral:tRNA from 1 species
CUGGGUGGUGCAAAUGAUUAAUGCGUUCAGCUGCUAACUGAAAGGCUGACAGUUCAAGUCCACCCAGA